rnacentral:rRNA from 1 species
CCCGGGUAAACCUUAUUUGUCGUUGGUAGGCGUAACACGAGCGUCCUAGCUUCUGAAUUAUUGGUAAAGGGGUGAAUCACACCUGUUUCACCUGCCCUUGACUCUGGGAUAAACCUGGGAAACCGGGUCCCCUUCGGGGAUAACAGCCGGCCGCAAGGCCUGGUGGUGGAAAGCUUUAUUGCGGUUUUGGAUGGAGGCCUACCCUAUCUACUUGUUGGCGGUGUAAUGGCCCACCGAUGCGACAACCGGGAACCGGCCCGAGAGGGUGACCCGCCCCACUGGGACUGAUACACGGCCCAAACUCCUGGGGGAGGCCCUGAUGGGGAAUAUUGCACAAUGGUGAUGAGCCUGAAGGAUCGAACCCCGUUUCGGAUGAGAGCCUUCUGGUUGUACACCUCUUUCAUCCGGAAGAAGCGAAAGUGACGGUACCUGCGGAAAAACCGACGGCGAUAUACUUGCCCGCAACCACGGUAAUACAUACGGCGCAAGCCUUAUCCGAAAUUAUUGGGCGUAAACAGCUGGUACGCCGUUUGUCGCGUCUGCCGUGAAAUUCCGGGGCUUAACUCCAGAUCUGCGGUGGGUACGGGCAGACUAGAGUGCAGUAGGGGAGACUGGAAUUCCUGGUGUAGCGGUGAAAUGCGCAGAUAUCAGGAGGAACACCGAUGGCGAAGGCAGGUCUGAACGCCGUAACUGACGGUGAGGAGCGAAAGCAUGGGGAGCGAACAAGAUUAGAUACCCUGGGGAGUCCACCCGUAAACGUUGGGCAGUAGGUGUGGGGGACAUUGCACAUUUUCCGUGCUGUAGCUAACGCAUUAAGUGCCCCGCACUGGGGAGUACGGCGCCAAGGCUAAAACUCAAAGGAAUUGAAGGGGGCCCGCACAAGCGGCGGAGCGGGCGGAUUACUUGCGUGCAACCCGAAGAACUAAACCAAGGAAUGACAUGAACCGGAAUGGCGCAUAGAUUCUCAGCCACUUGUGGCAGAUUUACAGGUGGUGCAUGUGAGUCAUCAGCUGGUGUCGCAAGAUGUUGGUCUAAUUCCCUCAACGAACGCAACCCUAAGUCCAUGUUGCAAGCGGGUUCACCUCGGGAGUCAUGGGCGAUUGCCGGGGUCAAUUUGGAGGAAGGUGGGGAGGACAUCAGAUCGUCGUGCCCGAUAUGUUCAGGUCUUCACGCCCGCUACAAUUUCGGGUACAAAGGGUUGCGAUAGGCAGAGGCGGAGGUAAUCUCAAAAAGCCGGUUUCCAUUUGGAAUGAGGUUUGCAAAUCGACCUCCUGAAGUGGGGUCGGUUGUUAUUCGAGUUACCCAUUUUUAGGGAUAAAUUGA